rnacentral:rRNA from 1 species
UUUAUAUGAGAGUUUGAUCCUGGCUCAGGAUGAACGCCGGCGGUGUGCCUAAUACAUGCAAGUCGAGCGCACUGGCCCAACUGAUAUGACGUGCUUGCACUGAAUUGACGUUGGAUUCCCAGUGAGCGGCGGACGGGUGAGUAACACGUGGGCAACCUGCCCUGAAGCGGGGGAUAACAUCUGGAAACAGGUGCUAAUACCGCAUAACAACGAAAACCACAUGGUUUUCGUUUCAAAGAUGGUUUCGGCUAUCACUUCAGGAUGGGCCCGCGGUGCAUUAGCUAGUUGGUAAGGUAACGGCUUACCAAGGCGAUGAUGCAUAGCCGAGUUGAGAGACUGAUCGGCCACAAUGGAACUGAGACACGGUCCAUACUCCUACGGGAGGCAGCAGUAGGGAAUCUUCCACAAUGGGCGCAAGCCUGAUGGAGCAACACCGCGUGAGUGAAGAAGGGUUUCGGCUCGUAAAGCUCUGUUGUUGGAGAAGAACGUGCGUGAGAGUAACUGUUCACGCAGUGACGGUAUCCAACCAGAAAGUCACGGCUAACUACGUGCCAGCAGCCGCGGUAAUACGUAGGUGGCAAGCGUUAUCCGGAUUUAUUGGGCGUAAAGCGAG